GUACGCGUGGGAGGCUCUGACACGCGGUCCAAACCCCGGCCGCCGGGACCGCGCUGAGCUACUGGCGAGACCGACCUGCGCGAGG
rnacentral:ncRNA from 1 species